ACGUAGGCGGAUUAGUAAGUUAGGGGUGAAAUCCCAGAGGCUCAACCCUCGGAACUGCCUCUAAAACUGCUAGUCUAGAGAUCGAGAGAGGUGAGUGGAAUUCCAAGUGUAGAGGUGAAAUUCGUAGAUAUUUGGAGGAACACCAGUGGCGAAGGCGGCUCACUGGCUCGAUACUGAC
rnacentral:rRNA from 1 species